UUUAUUUCAUUUUCUUGCCUAAUUGUCUUGUCAGUUAGUUGAAUGUUGAAUAGAAAUGGUGAGAGUAGACAUUCUUUCUUGUUCCUGAUCUUGGGAAGAAAGCCUUGUGUCUUCUACCAUUACGGAUGAUGUUGGCUUAGGUUUGUUUUGUUUUGUUUUCAUCAGGUUUAGGAGGCUUCCUUCUAAUCCCAGUUUGUUGAGUGUUUUUGUCAUGAAGGGGUGUUGGCUUUUGUCAAAUGCCUUUUCUGUGUCUGUUGGGAUCAUCAUGUGGCUUUUUUCCCUUUAUCCUAUUUAUGUGGUGUAUUACACUGAUUGAUUUUCACUUGUUGCCAACGCUGCAUUCCUAGGAUAAAUCCCACUUGGACAUGGUGCAUAAUUCUUCUUAGACAUUGCUGGAUUAUGCUUACUAGUAUUUUGCUGAGGAUUUAAAAAAUCUAUAUUCAUAAGAGAUAUUGGUCGGUCGUUUUUUUAUGAUGUCUCUGGUUUGGUAUGAGUGUAAUACUAGCAUCAAAGAAUGAGUUGGGAAGUGUUCCCUCCACAUCUAUUUUUUGGAAAAGUUUGUGAAGAAUUCAUUCUUCUUCAAAUGUGUGGUAUAAUUCACCAGUGAACCCUUCUGGCUCUGAGACUCUCUUUGUGGGUAGUUUUUGUUUUUUUUUUUUUUUUUUUUACUAAUCCAAUCUCUUUACUUAUUAUAGGUCUCUUCAUGAGCAUUCUUUUUGAAUGGUUACCCAAUACGCUCUCAGAUGGAAUGCCAAUUCUUAAAUUUCUUUUAGGAGGAUUGGACACUAAGAAGGAAAAGGGCUAGAUUCGCCCAUUCAUGCAGUUAUUCUUCCAAAACACGUACUGAGCACCUCUGGUUGUGAUCUGUGCUAGGCCCGGAGGCUACUGAGACAAACAAGACAGCCACAGGAACUACCCUUAGGAGUAUGGAGUGGACAAGCUGAUUUCAGGUCUGAGUCUGAGUUGCCCACAACUGAGUGUGAGAGGAGGCCCAGCCACGCUCAUUGAUCUCUGGGCCUUUCUUAGCUCCAAAUAGCAAUGCCUUGAAGUCCUCUGGCACUUUCCAGCUUACAAAGCACUUUCACUUAUAAAAUCUCAUUAUAGUAGAUCUUUAAGGACAACUCAGCAAAGUUCACUAUCCAUCUUUGCAAAAGAUGAGAAAACCAAGGUUCAGAGAAGACCAGUAUAAAUUCAAAUGGUUAGGAAGUACCUCUCCUAUAUUAGUUCCAAGUAAGGUACUAGAAGAGAAAGACGAAACGAUGAGGUCCUUGCCUUCAAGGAGCUCUCAGCCUGAGACAGAGAGAGACAGGGAGUCAGAGGUGCACUUAAGCAUUACAAGUCUUUGAUGGACAUCUCUACAAGGUAAAUUGGGGGCAGGGAAGAGGGUGGCUCAGAAAAGCCCCCACCACAGGUGUGACCUAUGAACUGCAGCUGGGAGCAAUGUGGCCAUUAUCCGAGGAAGUCACAAAAGUCCUUCAGAACUAGGGUGACCAUAUGUCCUAAUUUUGCCGGAGUAAUCCUGGUCUACUCCUGUUACCCCAGUUUAAGCAUCAGUAUCGUCUUUAACACUCAAAAUACCCAUUUUAUAUUUACAAAGUUUCAAAGUAUUUCCCUAAAAGAUUAUUAUAAUUACAAAGGGAAGUAAUAGUUACUUUAUAGUGGAGAAAUCUGGCAGACGCUCAACCCAGUGACCACGGUUAACAUCAUCACUAAUGAGACAAACAUUAUGUGCCUCCUGAUAUGAUGUGCUGAGAAGGACACAAUGGUAUUUCUGUGGUAUUCUUGCCAAAAAUACACAAACUGAAUCUAAUCACUAAGAAACAUCAGACAAACCCAAACUGAGGGACAUUUAACAACAUAACUGGGGCUGGCCUGGUGGCACAGAGGUUGAGUUCGCAUGUUCCACUUCAUCGGCUCAGGGUUCGCCGGUUCGGAUCCUGGGUGCGGACACGGCACUGCUUGUCAACUCAUGCUGUGGCAGGCAUCCCACAUAUAAAAUAAAGAUGGGCACGGAUGUUAGCUCAGGGCCAGUCUUCCUCAGCAAAAAGAGGAGGAUUGGUGGCAGAUGUUAGUUCAAGGCUAAUCUUCCUCAAAAAAUAAAUAAAUAAAUAACUGGUCUAUACUCUUGAAAAAUGUCAAGGUCAUGAAAGACAAGAGACUAUUCUAGAUUAAAGGAGACUAAAGACAAAUCACAACUAAAUGCAAUGCAUAGGAUGGGAGUAGAUCCUGGGUGGAAAAAAAGAACAUUAGUGAGUCAUGUAGUGAAAUUUGAAUAAAGUCUGUGGAUUAGAUAAUAGUACUGUUAUCAAUGUAGAAUGUCCUUGCAUUUAGAAUGGAUGAUAAGUAACGUGAUCUCCCUCUGCAGAACCCAGGGAGAACCAGCCUCCUCCCCUCCCAGCCUACAGACCUUUUACCAUCAACCAUUGGAGCCAGCCACUCAGCCUCCCCAUCACUGAGGGGUCCAGAUAAGCAGGGUUGGUGUGCCCUCGUCAGCAGAGCACCGCCUGUUCACCACUACGCUGGGAGGUGCCUCCAAUCUUCUGGCCUCUUAGCUACACACUGCUUAAGGGCUCAGCCAAGGAAAUCACUGAGCUGCUUUUCCCAACAAUCAGAAAUAAGAUUCUCAAACAAAAGAGAAAGAAAACUAGGAGAGAAGUUGCCCUUUUUGUGGUCAUUUCAGCUUUCCUGUUGGGUGGGUCAAGGGCUCCUCAGAUCUGAUUUUCUGGCCAGGCCUUAUGUAAUCUGUGGGCUAAAUAGUUGCUGGAGAAGGGGUGUUUUUUCUUCCAACUGUGGCCUCUCACCUGCUUCAUGGGUCUCUUAGAAUAAUCCUUUCAGGGCCAGAAUAAAAUAUGUGGACAUGUUGGGCAGGCUGAUCGUUUGGUAUCCGCUCAAACGGAUAUUAUUUAAAUAUUUGCUUAGUGGGAGCAGGAGGAACUGAUCUUGGACUCAUACACAGGAAUAAACAGUUCAACUCACCGAGUAUACCUCUGCUGGCUGGAGCAGGCAGUGGACUUAAAAUACAGGGCAAAAAAAAGAUUUCCUGUGUUUGUGGUCCUUCUCACUUGUUUUCUUUUGGAACUUUCUGAACCAAAUACUUUUAACCUCAGUUACAGAAUUAAGUUACACAUAAUAUUCAGUUUAUCAUUUAUUAUCAUCUGCUGUCUGGGCCAUGCCUCGCUCUUGUAUUUAUUUUAUUUCAUUGUAUUUUCCCUUCAUCUCUGUUCCAUGCUUCUCCCCAAGAGCACUCAGUGUAAUGUGUAGUAUUUCCUUGGAUAUAAACUUACCUUUGAAAAAUACAGAGAAUUGUUUAAUCUAUGCAUGCAUUUGAAGGGCAUAUAAACAGUAUUCCAACUUUAGCUGCAUCAGAAUCACCCAGAGAAAACACAGAUUCCUGGGCCCCACCCCCAGACACUCUGAUUCUGCAGUUCUGGGUGGGUCUGAGGUCCUACGUUUGUUACGGGUUCCCUGGGGAUGCUGAGGCUGCUGGCCAGCGGGCCACACUUUGAGUAGAACUGUUUUAGAUCUCUGUCUAUUUUUAAAAUUGUAUCAUUCCACACCAUAUUUUCAAGAUCUGUCUAUAUUAUUGUAUGUACCUCUAGUUUAUUGAUGUUGGCUGAUCCAAGAAUUCUGUGGUCUGCCUCGCUUUAACAAUUUACUUUUCUACUCCCCUAGUGAUGAACAGACACGACCCCUCUAUCUCACAUAAGUGCUGCAAUAAAUGUGCUUCUCCAUGUGUCCUCACGGACUGGGAAUGAGUUUCUCUGAGGCAUGUGCCCAGGAGCGGGGAGUGCUGCGCUAGGGGUACACAUGUACACACCUAAUUCCUCCACGUGGGGAGACACACAUAGAGAGACACCUGGAGCCCUCAACUCCAGCUCAUCUCCCAGGUGAAGCACCCACUUGCCGGCCUGAUGGAGCCAUAUUAGAAGCAGAUCCUCCAGCCUUUAGUUGAGGCCUCCAGCCGACACCACCCGGAGCAGGACUGAGUCCUCCCUUCUCUGCCAGACCCUGUCCAAACUGCAGAUUCAUGAG
rnacentral:lncRNA from 1 species